rnacentral:rRNA from 1 species
AGUGAACGCUGGCGGUAGGCCUAACACAUGCAAGUCGAACGGCAGCACAGUAAGAGCUUGCUCUUACGGGUGGCGAGUGGCGGACGGGUGAGGAAUACAUCGGAAUCUACUUUUUCGUGGGGGAUAACGUAGGGAAACUUACGCUAAUACCGCAUACGACCUACGGGUGAAAGCAGGGGAUCUUCGGACCUUGCGCGAUUGAAUGAGCCGAUGUCGGAUUAGCUAGUUGGCGGGGUAAAGGCCCACCAAGGCGACGAUCCGUAGCUGGUCUGAGAGGAUGAUCAGCCACACUGGAACUGAGACACGGCCCAGACUCCUACGGGAGACAGCAGUGGGGAAUAUUGGACAAUGGGCGCAAGCCUGAUCCAGCCAUACCGCGUGGGUGAAGAAGGCCUUCGGGUUGUAAAGCCCUUUUGUUGGGAAAGAAAAGCAGCAGGUUAAUACCCCGCUGUUCUGACGGUACCCAAAGAAUAAGCACCGGCUAACUUCGUG